rnacentral:tRNA from 1 species
GCCUCGAUAGCUCAGUUGGGAGAGCGUUAGACUGAAGAUCUAAAGGUCCCUGGUUCAAUCCCCGGGUCGGGGCA